rnacentral:lncRNA from 1 species
CACUUCUACUAGGUGUAAAGAUGGUGGCUCCAACUAACCACCCAGCCUGUGCCACCGAAGUGGCCCCUGAGGAAGAACCUAAUUCUGUCAACACUGUAAAGCUAGAAUGUGAACCAAAAUUCAGCAAGGUCGAUGGGCCCACCUGUAUCAUCUUAUGGAAUACAAAGGACCAAGUUCUCAUGCUAAAAAAUGAGAGAGAAGCUGUAUUCGAGGAGAUAACUGACUCUGAAAUUGGAGACAAUGCAACCCAGACUCAGUUUAUGAUGCAGCAUUAUAAAGACAUUGAUCCCACAUGUUUGUUGGUAGCUUUCUCUGUGAAGACUCCACAAACAACUUAUACUAUGGCCUGCAAAGACAAAAGCCUCUUUUUUAAGGUAAGACUGAUCUUGCAUUUGUUCUUAGUUUCAUUCUGAGGAAAACCUUUUUUUUUAUUUAAAUUUAUUUAUUUUUAGUUUUCAACAUUCCCUUCCACAAGAUUUUGAGUUCCAAAUUUACUCCCAUCUCACCCUUCCCCCCACCCCAAGAUGGCAUGCAUUCUGAAUAUCCCUUCCCCUAAUCUGCCCUCUCUUCUAUCUCUCUCCCCUUCUCUUAUCCCCUUCCCCUUCUAUUUUCUUGUAGGGCAGGACAGACUUCUGUACCCCAUUUCCUGUAUUUCUUAUUUCCCAGUUGCGUGUGAAACCAAUUUUUUAACAUGUGUUUUCAAAACUUUGGGUUCCAACUCUUCUUCCUUCCUCCCUCCUCACCUACCCUCAUUGAAAAGGCAAGCAACUCAAUACAGGUUAUACAUGUGCAGUUAUGCAAAACACAUCCAUAGUAGUCAGGUUGUGAAAAACUAACUCUAU